rnacentral:rRNA from 1 species
GUGCCAGCAGCCGCGGUAAUACGUAGGGGGCAAGCGUUAUCCGGAAUUAUUGGGCGUAAAGAGUGCGUAGGUGGUUUUGUAAGCGCGGGGUGAAAGGCAAUAGCUUAACUAUUGUAAGCCCUGCGAACUGUGAGACUUGAGUGCAGGAGAGGAAAGCGGAAUUCCUAGUGUAGCGGUGGAAUGUGUAGAUAUAAGGAGGAACACCAGUGGGGAAGGCGGCUUUCUGGACUGUAACUGACACUGAGGCACGAAGGCGUGGGGAGUAAACAGGAUUAGAU